CUUUUCUAAUUUUCUUUGGAAAUUAAAAAAAUCAACAACACCAAUAUUCAAUUUUUAACUAUAUAAUCAAUAAACGAACACAAAAGUGGGCUUCGUAAAAAGGAUGUUUUAUUACCUCAUGAAAUAGCCGCAUGCGCGCUACUGUCCUCGAAACUUCGUUUAGUCGAGACCUCUAGUGAGAAACUUCUCAUUAAAGUUCAUUUCGUAAGAAACAUUGAUAUGUGCACGAAGCUUUAUAUGUUAACUGAUGUAAUAUUUGUAUACUUAUAUUGAAUCUUUCUUUUAUUGUUAAAAUCAUAUAUCGUGAUCAGAAAAAACAAUACAAAUAUACUUUUCUUUUUUCGUCUUUUGUGUAUUGCCAACAAAAAUAAUGGAUACAUGGCAUGUGUUUCAAAUCAAAGUAUGCAUCAUGGCGUAUCUAUAAUAACUAUACCGAAUGGUUCAAAGUUGAACGAAAAUAAUCGAAUAAAUAAUUGAGUAAAAGAAAAAAGAAAAUAUAAAGAGGAAAAAAGAAGAAAAAAAUACACAGACAGAAGAAAAGAGAGAGUGAAUUUUCUCAUUCGAAAAUGUGAAGAAUAAUACGGGAAAAAGAAGUGAUUAGUGUCAAUCAUUGUUUGAAUAUUACUUUUAUGGCAUAUAUUGUGUUAAUCCAACCACACGGAUGCGUUAAUUGAUAUGAUAAAUGUGACAGUGACCACCACUAAUAGCUGUGGAAUAUCACGACACAUUUCAUUUUUCUAUCCGUUUUCAUUUCUAUAUGUACCUCACUUAACCUGUAGAUUUAUGGAUAUUUGCUUCGCGGAAUUCUAUAACUGCAGAUUUUCCUAUUAGUUUCUUUCUAGUUUUAUUUCUAAUUUCUCUUUCUCUUUGCAAUUAUAUACAGUAUCCUUUCUUAUAUUUUUAUAGAAUUUUAAGAGAAGAUUAAACGUUAUUACAUAAUCCUUCAUUAUAUAUCAAGAUUUAAAUUACAAAUUUAAAUUAAAUGCAAUCUUUUCUAAAAAAGAAAAAACUAUAAAAACCAACAUGAUAUAUUAUUAUGUUAUGCAUGAUUAAUAUAAAAUUAUUACAUAAUAGGUUGUCAUAGUCAUAAAUUACAUUAAAAAGAUAUCAUUGAAUUGAAGCCAUCACAAAUUUUGUGCAUGAUAUUAACGAAAAUUAUAUUGAAUACAUAAUGAAUAUGUUCCUUUCAAAAAAAUUGUAUGGUCUUUCAUUAACAAAAUAUGAUCAAAAACAAUCUAUGACGUCAGAGAAAAUAUGAAAGAAGAGUUUAAUAGUAAACUGUGCUACAUAUUAAUUUAAUAUACGAUUAUUUUAUUCUUAUAUAUAUAUAUAUAUAUAUAUAUAUAUAUAUAUAUAAUAAAAUUAAAUUUAUAUUUUAUUUUAAAAAACAUUUAACAUUAUUUAACGCACAAACACUGUUGCGAAAAAUAAUAGGUUAUUUUUUUGUAAAACCAAGGUGUGUAGAUUUCAGAUUUUACGGCAGCUGAACGUGACUAGAAAGAGCGUUACGGCCAAUUUAAUAGCAUUCAUGCGAGAAUUGACACUUGACACGUGGUGCCGUUUGACCGAAGGUCGAUCGUUAUUCAGGAUUAAGCAUGCGCGUGAAAACAGCGCCAAAAUCACUGGACUCGCCUAACCGACCGUUGUUUUCAUAUUCUCUAAAACAUUGUUUAUAAUAACUUUGCUUUUUUUCAUUAUUUUACAACCUUCGAGAAUAUUUAUCUGAAAUUCUGCAAUAAUGCAUGACGAUAGUAUAAAAGAGAAACAAAAUUAAAAAACCAGUAAAGGAAUUUUGAGGAUAAUCACUUGCAGCCAAUCGGUCAUCGACCUUUGCCUUGCAAUGUAUAUAUGUAAAUAUAAUAUACGUUUUGCACGCUAGAUGUCGCUCAUUAUGCAUUAAAUGAAAAUCUCAAGAAAUUAUAAAUUAUAAUUUAUGGAUUAAAAUCAAAACAAUAAAUAUUAUGUGGAGCUUGCAUUCGACAUACUAAAGCAAGAAAGAUUUUUUGCUCGUUCUGCCUAUCUUUAUCUUUAUUACUCAUUCAUUAUCACUAUAUUUUAUUUAGUUUCAGAUUUAUUGUCCCUCUUUUUACUACGCAUCGAACUAAUGUGAUAUUUUCUGCCAAUAGGGAAAAUAUGUGUGACAAGGUCAUUUUAAGUAAGAGUAAGACAGCGUUCCAGCCAAUUAGACCUACAUUCCUUUCCAAUGCAAACUCUUGAGUUUCAAUACAUUUUUAGAUGUUUCACUACAUCUUCUUGAUUAAAAUUGGAACCAAAAUCAUACUAUUAUUAAUACUAUGUUAAUCAUGAUCACAUUUUAAUAUUCUGACUUUUUCUAUGAACGACGUUUCAAAAAGAUUCAACAAAUAAAUGAAUAUCAACAUUUAAGAUAUAUUGUUGUUCAUCUUUUGGAUCAAUAAGAAUCGAUAUGACAGGCCCAAUCGACAGGCCCACAGGUCACAGUUUCUUUUCAUGAGAUGUAAAAGGAGACGAUCUUGUAUUAGUAACUGUAAGCGACUUCACCUUCCAUCAGCAGGGGGCAACAAGCCUGUCAGACAACGAUGCGGACACGACAAUAAUAACACAAGACAGAGAACACGCGAGAAAUGGACAUAGAAAAUUUCUUAUAUAUAGUUAUAUGUUAGUAAUAUUCUUGACUUGAAGAAAAUACAGUGAAUUGAAAAACUA